GGAAACGCCGAGACGAUGUGCCCGGGGUACUGCGCGUGGCCAUUUCACCAGCCCAUUUACGGCCCACAAGGGCCGCCGUUAGUUUCCCCUAACGGUGACGUUGGAGUCGACGGGAUGAUUAUAAACCUGGCUACGCUGCUAGCUAACACCGUCACGAAUCCGUUUAAGAACGGGUAUUACCAGGGCCCACCAACUGCUCCACUUGAAGCUGUCUCCGCUUGUACCGGCAUGUUCGGGUCUGGUUCUUACCCGGGUUACGCGGGUCUAGUGCUGGUUGACAAAACUACCGGGUCUAGCUACAACGCUCGUGGACUCGCCGGGAGGAAAUAUCUCUUGCCGGCGAUGUGGGAUCCACAGACCUCGACUUGCAAGACUCUGGUUUGAUCCAAGGGAUGUGAGUAUGACACGUGUCAUGUUCUGGAAGGAAUGAGGAGAUCUAGAUGACAUCUAUAGUCAAAACAAGUUGUAACUCGCGCUUGUAUAAUAUAUAUGCUUUCGGGUUUGGACUGUGGAUAAGAGUCUUUGCUUUUGUCGUUUUGUUAUGACGUGUAAAUUAUGUUUCUUGAAUGUGAAGAUAUAUGAAUAGUAUAAAAUAAAAUGAUUGUGUUUCUGUUGACAAAAAAAAUGAUUUUGUUUCUACUGCUUUUUAUAAAAGUUAAUGCACUUAUUAAAGAUAAUGAACUAUAAUGAUUGAGGCUUAUAAUACAAAUUUUAUACAUUUAAAGGAAUCUAGCUUUUAUAUUAGUGGGUAGUAUAAGAUAAUCAUAGUUUUAUUGUUUAUAUUAAAUUCGAUGAUAAAAGUAGAUAACACUACAAAGAAAGAUGAGUAUAAAAUAUAAGUUGCUCUCGGUGAUGUUGGGGCCAAAGAGACCAAAUCGAUUGCUUAAUAAAAUACUCGUUUCUUCCUACUUUUUUUUUCAUGUCAGCCAUAGUGUGCUUAAAAUACUUCCUCGUAAUUGUGUUCCCUCAUUAUUUGUAUGACUAUGAUUAAAACUAAGUUAACAAAGAUAAGGUCUGUAAUAACACCAGAAUUCAUUGUGUCAGAGGUUCUGUGGAACAAAAUUAUUUAUAUUAUAUGUAGUUUUAGGAUACGGAGAAAUGAGAAGUUUUUAAAAAUGAUAUAAGAACAUAAUUAUAUGAUGACAAAAAAAAAGAACAUAAUUAUAUAUGUUAUAAAGGAAAAAGAAAUUAUCAGAAAAAAAGAGGGAAGGAAAUGAUCAGAAAACGAGGAAAACAUUGUUUAGGAUGCUAAACCUCAAACACGAUGGUCAGUGGGUUGAGGAGUAAAACCUCUUAUAUCGGCUUAAACAGUUUCCGAUUAGGUUAGUAAUUUAGUAAUUUGGUAUUUCCUGACCAUGGUCAGUGGGUUCGGUGAAGUUUUUUUUUUAGAUAAAAGGGUUUGGUGAAGUCCUCCAUUACUUCCGUUCUGUAUGCCAAAAGACAACUUUGUAACUUUUAAUAUUAAAGCAUCUCCAAUAGCAGUCUUAAAAUAAAAUUUUAUGUAUUCCAAAAGAAACUUCAAAACCUCAAAUUAUAAGGUUUGUACAGUGAAACCUUAUAUUUGAGAUUUUACUGUACAAAACCUUAUAUUUAAAGUUCCAUAUUUUUUUAGUCCCUGUACUUAUAUGUUUUUUAAAAAGUUUUUAUAAUUUUCUUGUUUAUCAUUUUAGUCCAUACAGUUUUAUAUAUUUAUAUAUUUAUAUAUGUUUUUAUAAAUUUAACUUUUUAAAAAUAAAUAUAUAAAUGUUUAAAUAAAAAACAAAGCAUAAUCUUUUAAUAAUAUUAUGCAAGACAAUAUUACAUCAACAAGUUGAUACAAAAUACAACAAGGUAAAAAUGCAUAAAAUAAAAUUACAUAAGCAAAAUAAAUAUUACAAUUAUACUAAUAAUCCGGUAAACUUGAUCCCGAACCUCCAAUAUCACUAAAAUAUUGGCCAUAAAAGGUUGGUGCAUUCGAAGGUUGUUGUUGUUCUUGAGUUCUUUUCUUUAUAAUUCUUUCUUGCUCAGAUCAGAUAAACUCACGAGUAGUAUGAUCACUGAUAGAUUCUAGGUUUGUUAACAACAUUUUAUUCUCUUCAUGCAUUUCCUUAAGGGCUAGUUUUUUUGUUUGGUGUUGCAUACGUAAAUGAACAAUUUCAUAAUUCUUAUCCCUAGCUGAUGCACUUUCUUUUAAGAAAUCAAGGACUUGUUCAUUUGAUGAAACCAAAGUGUCAACUGAAGAAUUUUUACCUUCCGAGAUUUUCCUUUUGAGUUUUGCUUUCUUUGAUCUAAUUGGUCGUUGUGAUGAAUUUGACCCACCAUCAUCACUACUUAAGUUGAUUGAAAAUGAAAACAAUCCCGGAGAUUGUGAUGUUGGAGAACCGACGACGUUGCUCUGAAGAGUGUUUGGAAUACCAAAAUUGACGUUGUCGGUAAACUUUGGGAUAUCCUUCAGUUUUGGAUCUUGUACCAAUAAUUUCUUGCAUUUUUCCAUCUGCAUGCAAGAUAAAAUCAUUAAAAAUAAAUAAAUAUCAUAUAUAAAUGAAGCUAAAAAUAAAUAUACAUACAAUGUCAAAUUCGGAUGCACCACUUGGAUUCAAAUUCUCCACUUGACUUAUGCAGCUCUUCAAAUUUCUAACAGCAUAAAGAAUAGUAUUCAUUCUACCUUGUAAUGAUUGGUUGCUUCUAAUUUCCCAACACUCAUCUUUUUUUCAUUGUAACUCUUUUUGAUUUUUCCCACAGCUUUCCUAGAGAUUGAUUAUUACUACCAAUCUUGUGAUAUUUCUAGAUACACUCGACAUAAUAACUCAUGAUAUAAUGACAACAUGCAUUAUAAUGCAUAACAUGAUAAUUGAAGACGAGCGGGACAUCAACGCACCGAUUAGAGAUGCAAGAGCGGUGCCAGUGCUACAAGUUGAAACAGCAACUAACGAAAAUACUCGGUUUCAAUAAUUUUUGGCUCGUAAUCUACAAAUAAAAAAAAAUAAAAAAGCUCAUUUAUCGCUUCAAAAUGCACUAAUUGAUCUUAUAUGAGAGCAUUAUGGGAAUAAUAAUAAUGAAUAAUGUAUUUUUAAGUCUUUUAUUUAUAUGUAAUAUAUGCUAUUAGAAUGUAAUAGUUUAUUAAUAGCUAUUGUUUAUAGUAUUUUUGAUGUAUGAUUUUAGCUGUUAUAAAAGUUUUAUGCUUUUAUUUGAUUCUUGUCUAAAGUAAGGACUAUAAUGUAAAAAUAUAAACAAAUUGAGGUUUUUUUUAAGGUUUACCAUUGGAGAAGGUCACCCCAAACCUCAAAUAUAAGGUUUAGCAAACCUCAAAUAUAAGGUUGUUCUUGCAGAUGUUCUAAUAAUAUAUAUUUUUUGGAUCAAGAACACAUUCAUCAAAUAUUAACAAGAUUUUUUUUGGGCAAUUCUCCUUAAUAGCCCCUUUUAACUUUGUAUCUCUAAAUCAGACUCUCAAACUGAAAAUAACCUAAAUAACCUUCAUCAAGUGUCAAAAGUCUACAAUGCCCUUCUUUUAAUUGUAAUUAGAUGAAACAAUUAAUAAAUUGCAACCACGAAAAAUAAACGACGACGAAGGACUCUUGAAGUCAUCUUCGACGACGAGCUCCGGCGACAAAGGAAACAAUGAUUCUCAUUGUCGACGAAGCAAGCUGUGUGAAUCUGUAUGUUUCAAUAGUUUUACGAAGAAAAUCUUAAUUUUAUUUAGGGUUUUCAAAUUGAGAUUUGAAUUUUUGUGUUCUUCUUCUUCCGAUGAUACGUUUGAACUUGUUUUGUUGUUUGAAUAGAACAUGGAUAGCAGAAUCGGAGUUACAAAUAAUGAAUUUCAGGAAACUUCGUUUACAUAUAACUUUGGCUUAAAGAGGAAGAUGAUCUCGUGACUUUACUUUUUGGUAAGCAAUUUUUGAAUCUUUGAUAUUCCUAUUUAUUCUUUGAUAAAAGAACCCUGUGUAAAGAGAGCUUUGAUUGUUGGAGUUGGUCUCUUUGUUGUGUUUCCCUUUUUCACCUGAAUGGUAAUGUAACAGUGUCAAAGUGCGAUUGCAGGUCUCUGAUGCUUUGUAGAACUCAAUUUUGAAACCGCCUCCUUCAUACGUACAGCCAGCCUUCUCUAGAAGACCGUAAGAUAUUAUGUUCCUGCUAAUAUUCGGCAUGUGUCUCACAUCAGUUAAAAUCACUUCAACACCAUCCACAUUAGUAACUCGAAUCUUUCCAAUUCCUUUAACUUCGCUCUGUGUGUUGUUCGCCAUAAAAACUUUCCACCUUCUAGUUCCUUGAAGUCAAAGAGAACAUUCCUUUGAGGAGUGAUAUGAAACGAGCAGCCAUAGUCUAGAACCCACUCCUACUUAGUGUCCUGAACACUUACAGUCAGUACAAGCGGCUGCUUUGGUUAAGAAGCUAUAUUCAUUAAGCUUGAAGACUCAUUCUUCCUUCCCUGAUUAUUCCAAUUCUGUGGGCAUUCUCUCUUCCAAUGACCAUCCUUUCCGCAAAUAAAACACCCUGUUUUGUUGGUAUUUCGGUUUGAUCUUGGUCUAGACUUUGAUCUUCCAUCCCGUGACUUUGAUCUGCUUUUUCCAUACUUUCCAUUUCCUUUAUUUCCCUUCUCCUUCUGUCUACGUUGAGAUUCCACAUACAAGCCUUUUAAGUUCGAUCUAGACUUUCCAAAGAGACCCCUUUGUUUUGUGUUGUUCAAAAUCUUUAAAAUUCAAAUUGUAGUGGGAUUCUAAGAUUUUCAGUUAUAAUAUUACUAGAUACUAGUUGGUAUAAAUAAAUUACACAUUUAUAUUUUAUCGCAUAAAAACAUGAAAACACCUAUGUAUAUAUAAAAUUAUAUACCAAAAUAUAUAGAGAUUUAUCUCAUUUUUUUUAAACAUGUAUAAUGUAAAAUAUUGUUUUUGGAUAACACAAUGUAAACUAGUUUUAUAAAAUGAUAAUUAUCAAAUCAAUAAAAUUCAUUCUUAAUUUGUGGUUAUGUAUAUAUUAAAAACCGAAUUAUUCAUUAUAUUUAAUAAAGACCUUAUAGCACAAUAUAAAUUAUUUUUUGAUAAUGAUAAUUAUCAAAUUAAUGAAAUUCAUUUUUAAUUUGUGGUUAAUCAUAUAUUAACAAAUCAAAUUAUUCAUUAAGAGUAAUAAAAAUUUUAGCCGCUCUAACUUUUAAUGUUAGAACUAAUAAUCAUUUUGCAAAUAAUAAUAUAGAAUAAAAUUAUUAAAUAGAAGGUUUAAUUAUUAUAAAUAGCUAUAAACUUGUAUCAUGGUAAAAUAAAAAUUGUCUUCUUAUUUGAUUGCAGGUUAUCCAAGUAGGGAAGGGCUUGGAUUUGAUCCAUCCUAACACAAACUUAAUCUGCUAAUUCUGUAAUAAUAAUAAUACAACAAGAUUUGUUCUACUAAUCUUUUUACAGAGUGAAAUUUUUUAUUCUUUUGAAUCAAACAAAAGACACCAGAAGAAUUAGCCUUAUCUCCAAAGACUCUAAUUACUCAGUUCCGUUCGUUCACCAUUUGUUUUGACAAUAUACAGAAGUAAGAUCAUCUCUCUGGCUCGAUUUUCAUCUGAACCGUAGAUUCAGAACCUGACACAUACAACCAAAUAACAAUGUAAUUAGAUAUCACACAACAAAACUUCACACUGUUUAUAUUCUGCAAUGUAAAUUUCUGUUUAUAUUUUUGCUUACAGUUGAUGCUCUGUUGCGGACAAUCACUGAAACCCAUAUGAACAAUACUCUGCAGAUCGUUUUCCCAGAAAGCUGGCGCCUAAGAAAACACACAAAAGUAAGCUUUUCAGAGGAAGCAAUACAGUGAGACUGUAUACAAUAUAAGCGGACAUUAAAGUACCUCAGCUUGAACAAAUCCUUCACUAAGAAUGUUCUUGCCAACAGCUAAAUACUCUGAAGGAAAUCUUGACUCUGAACAAGAUAAUGAUUCUCCCAGCUGCAACAUCUAAGACAUACAUAAUCUACUCGUCAGAUACAAUUACAGAACAUUCUCCCAGUCUUUGUUAUGAAUGAAUCAACAUAAAGCAGAAGAAUACCUCUGCAGAUAACAUAGCAUUAGCAGCAUUGAACUCCGUUCUUGGAUUUAUAGUUGCUAACUUCAUAGACAAGAACUGGAGAAGUAAACAAGAGAUUCAGAUUCAGUUAUAAUAAACACACAGCUCCAUGUUUAAGAAACAUAUAAAGCGACAGUAUACCUGGACUUGUCUUUGCAAUGACUGCACAUAAUUGAUAAUCUCAUCAAGCAUGACAGCUUUUCCAGUAAUCCGGUUGCAACCAGGGACCAAAUCUUGAAGCAACUUCAUUCUCGCACUNNNNNNNNNNNNNNNNNNNNNNNNNNNNNNNNNNNNNNNNNNNNNNNNNNNNNNNNNNNNNNNNNNNNNNNNNNNNNNNNNNNNNNNNNNNNNNNNNNNNNNNNNNNNNNNNNNNNNNNNNNNNNNNNNNGAAGCCCUAGAAAAUCGGCGACCGACUCGAACAUGACACCACACGUUGAACAGAUAGCAUGGUAGGGACACGCGCCCACUAACGAAGCCGCCACCUAACUUCAGCCAGAAAGUCAUCGACGGAGCUCCAACCGGCUGUUCCACCGGAAACACACCGGAAACAGGAACCCGAAGUUAGAGAUCUAUCGAAGACUAUGGAUAAUUGCUUUCCACCACCGACAUGGUCUACGCCGGAGGAUCAAAGAGAUACACCGGAAGCCAAGAGGCUGAGGAAGCCCGCUAAAGACAGUAGAACACAGUCGAUAACCAUACAACUUGGCUCUUCGCUUUAUAGACGAUUCAUUUGCAUGCGUUCCAAAACAGGAAACAGAGAUGAAUCGAAGAAGCUUGAAGGAAAGAUCAGACGAAAGCCAGAAUAAACCAGAGAGAAGCCGCACGACGCCACCGGAGAAGACACCGUCAUCAACGUCGCCGGAACCAGAAGCCAAUGAAUCAUUUAGAAGAAAGUGAUUCAUUGGAGCCAAAAGCCGACGGUUUCGUCAGAGAAGAACGACCACCGUCGAACCCAAAAGCCGGCCAGUCGAUGUUGAAGAAACCAUCGCUGCCGGAACCGACUCCUAUAGGAGCCAACACGCCGGAAACCACCGGCGAUCUAUAUCCUCUCUCUCUGAAAGAUUUUUUAGAGAGAAGAGAGAGAGUUUUUUAUGAUUGUGUUUUUUCCAAUGUGUGAUUUUCAUUCACUCCUCGUUAGCCUUUUAUGAAAAUAUUGUAAUACUGUGAAAUUAUAUCUAAAACUCGUGACACCGGUUUAUAGGUUAGAUGUAUUUUAUCUUAUCCAGCGACAUAAACAGGAUAUCUUGACAUGAUGAGAUAAGAAAAUGUACUGGUCCUUGUAAAUUUGGACCGCAUGUCGGCCAAAAAAUCGUUUUGACUGAUAUAUUAAGCUCAACUUUUUUUGUACCCGCAAAUUUAAAACGCUCAAAUAUUUGUUAUAACGCCAUCAAAACAGUGAUCAUUAUUCAAAAUUUAACUUAUAUGUGAUAUUUCCACUCGACUCAAUUAAAAUAGAAAUAAGCCAAGCUAAAAAAACAAAUGGUGACAUCAGAAGAAGGAAAAUCAAAAUGAUGAAUAAAGGGUGGUCAUGAUCCUAUGAGUCCCAUUAAUAUUUAUAUAUAUACACAGUGGUCAUGCACUCUUGAUAUUUGUUGCUUCUACAGUUUACUAUUUAUUUUUCACAUACAGCAAGAGUAAAAUUUUAAACGUGUCAAAAUAAAUCGUUGAGGUAGCACUCAGCAGAUCUAAUAAGUGGAUUGCCUCGAAUCAUAUUAACCCUGGGUUACUCUCGAGUACUGACAAGUAGAUAACGCCAAAGAAAAUGAUGUAAAAGGCCAAUAAUGGACUGUAAUAAAGGUGUGGUUCAGUACUCAUCGUGAAGGCGUAUCUAAUAUCUUCUUUCCCCAGCUACACGACUAAUUUACUCAAGUGCACCGUAUUUUUCUUGUACACGUAAACUAUUUAUAAGUCUACAUAGUUGUACAAUUGUAUAGUAUUUUAUACACUGUGCGUAGGUAAAUACGUAUGGCUCGUGUGGUGGUCCCCGCAGAAACCAAAGGUAGAGCCGUGUGGAGGGACCUCCCCCAAGUAAAACGAUAACCACACGGUAUCAGAUCCCUUGUCACUUUCUUGAAUUUAGUGGCGCCCUUUAACUCUAAAGGAACCUCCCCUAAAUAGAUACAGAACUAAUAUUCAUUUGUUUUUAAUAAAAAGUUGAUUUAAUCUUUUUGAUUGUGUUUCAAAAAAAAAAAAAAAAUCUUUUUGAUUAUUGACUAGGCUUCGAAACGCGUAAUGACUUCUUCUUCUAGUACAGCCAAACAAGUAUGGUGUCUAUGUAUUUGCUGCGUAUAAGAUCGUAAAGCCCGUCUUUGGGUCAAGUCGAUGGAACCUAUACUUUAAGUGAAUAUUUUCUUUAAACUUUUCUUGACAGAAUUUCAGAUUUGAAGAUUCAAAUUAUCAUGUUUAUAAUAUUUCCAUUUUAACGAAGCGGCCAUUCUUUCUUUAGCCUUUGAAAUUUCGGAACCAAUACAAACCAUGACCCAUGAUGUCAUUAUACUUUUACCAAAAAAAUGAUGUCAUUAUACUGAAAAAUAGCUAAAGCUUUUAAUAGUGAUAUUAAACUUAGUUGUUGGCUGCUGAUCCAUAAGAAAUUGUUGGCAUAUGAUUUGCUUAAAGAAAAACCAGUGAAUAAUAUACGAAUUCGUUCAUUUUAAUUCAUCUGUACUUAACACUAUUAUAUAGAAAGGUAAGGGUGGACGAGACUGAUGCUGGUUAAAUAACAUAAUGAUAUAUAAUUUUUUUGCAAUUUUUUAAAUAGAAGUUUUAGUUUUUAUCCAUUUCUUAUACUUUUUUUUCGUCAACACAAUUCUAUUGAUUUAUACAAGGAGUUCAUGAUCUUUUUAUUUUUGAACAGAGGAGGAGUUCAUGAUCUAAACUCUGGUUUUUGACUAUAUACAAGUUGAAUGAAUGUAUGUAUCAAAAUCAGAUAAGCUACAUCCACUUUUUAAAACAACUAGUUGAUGUAAUUUAUAGCCACCUUUUAAUACUAGUUUUUGAGCUAGCUGUAUUUUAUACUAAGUUCCUUGCAUUUGAAUUUAGAAUGGGCUUUUGCAUUAAAACUAUACUCGAUUUGUAUUCAUAAACUUCAAAAAAAGUUUUAAUAGCUAUGACUUUUGAGUCUACGACAGCUCGAACAUAGAAAAUUAAAAAACUAUGAAAUGUACCUAUCCAAUUUAAUUUAUUUUUCAAGAUUCAUAUAUGUAUAUAUUUACAUAUUUAAUUGUAUUACAUUGUCUAUACUCAUUAAAACUUUACGCAAAUGCGCAUGGACGAGCAUGUCUCUCCGCAUGGCGUAAGAUUUAAGUUUAAAACUUCUAUAAAAUAACAGACUAAUAACAAAAUUAUCGGCUAAGCAUCACUUAAAUUUAAUACACGUUAUGGAGACUACCACGUCACAUUUGAGCACCUUCCAGGCUGUCAAAGACUCCUAUCACCCAUUCAAAUCAUUCCACGUGGCACUUUCGGACAGUGACACCUAUGCUACAACAGCUGUCUCACUCGUCUACAUUGGUAUAAAUACCUCUUGUAUCACACUUCAUUCUAUAAACCUCAAACAAAACCUCUGUUCUAACUCUUACAAUAACCAACUUCUCAAAUGGCUUAUAAUUACCGUUUUGCCUUUUUCCUCACCGUCCUCACCGCCCUCGCCGGGAUCUCCUCCGCCGCGUUGGUCAAGGAGCAGCCGCUUGUUCUGAAAUACCACAACGGCGCACUCUUGAAAGGAAACAUCAACGUCAAUCUCGUUUGGUAUGGGAAGUUCACACCCACCCAACGGUCAGUGAUCGUCGACUUCAUCCGCUCGCUCAACUCCAAAGAAGCCACAACCUCCGCCGCUCCCUCCGUCGCGUCGUGGUGGAAGACGACGGAGAAAUACAAAGGCGGAGCUUCGACUCUCGUCGUCGGGAAACAGCUCCUCCUCGAGAACUACCCCCUCGGAAAAUCUCUCAAGAAUCCCAACCUCCGUGCUUUAUCCACCAAACUUAACGGCGGUCUCCGUUCUAUAACCGUCGUUUUAACGGCGAAAGACGUUUCCGUCGAGGGCUUCUGUAUGAACCGGUGCGGGUCCCACGGAUCGUCCGUCUCGACUUCGCGCCGCGCGGCUAACGGCGAGGCUUACGUCUGGGUCGGAAACGCCGAGACGAUGUGCCCGGGGUACUGCGCGUGGCCAUUUCACCAGCCCAUUUACGGCCCACAAGGGCCGCCGUUAGUUUCCCCUAACGGUGACGUUGGAGUCGACGGGAUGAUUAUAAACCUGGCUACGCUGCUAGCUAACACCGUCACGAAUCCGUUUAAGAACGGGUAUUACCAGGGCCCACCAACUGCUCCACUUGAAGCUGUCUCCGCUUGUACCGGCAUGUUCGGGUCUGGUUCUUACCCGGGUUACGCGGGUCUAGUGCUGGUUGACAAAACUACCGGGUCUAGCUACAACGCUCGUGGACUCGCCGGGAGGAAAUAUCUCUUGCCGGCGAUGUGGGAUCCACAGACCUCGACUUGCAAGACUCUGGUUUGAUCCAAGGGAUGUGAGUAUGACACGUGUCAUGUUCUGGAAGGAAUGAGGAGAUCUAGAUGACAUCUAUAGUCAAAACAAGUUGUAACUCGCGCUUGUAUAAUAUAUAUGCUUUCGGGUUUGGACUGUGGAUAAGAGUCUUUGCUUUUGUCGUUUUGUUAUGACGUGUAAAUUAUGUUUCUUGAAUGUGAAGAUAUAUGAAUAGUAUAAAAUAAAAUGAUUGUGUUUCUGUUGACAAAAAAAAUGAUUUUGUUUCUACUGCUUUUUAUAAAAGUUAAUGCACUUAUUAAAGAUAAUGAACUAUAAUGAUUGAGGCUUAUAAUACAAAUUUUAUACAUUUAAAGGAAUCUAGCUUUUAUAUUAGUGGGUAGUAUAAGAUAAUCAUAGUUUUAUUGUUUAUAUUAAAUUCGAUGAUAAAAGUAGAUAACACUACAAAGAAAGAUGAGUAUAAAAUAUAAGUUGCUCUCGGUGAUGUUGGGGCCAAAGAGACCAAAUCGAUUGCUUAAUAAAAUACUCGUUUCUUCCUACUUUUUUUUUCAUGUCAGCCAUAGUGUGCUUAAAAUACUUCCUCGUAAUUGUGUUCCCUCAUUAUUUGUAUGACUAUGAUUAAAACUAAGUUAACAAAGAUAAGGUCUGUAAUAACACCAGAAUUCAUUGUGUCAGAGGUUCUGUGGAACAAAAUUAUUUAUAUUAUAUGAUGUAGUUUAGGAUACGGAGAAAUUGAGAAGCUUUUAAAAAUGAUAUAAGAACAUAAUUAUAUAUGUUAUAAAGGAAAAAGAAAUUAUCAUCUCGACUUCGCGCCGCGCGGCUAACGGCGAGGCUUACGUCUGGGUCGGAAACGCCGAGACGAUGUGCCCGGGGUACUGCGCGUGGCCAUUUCACCAGCCCAUUUACGGCCCACAAGGGCCGCCGUUAGUUUCCCCUAACGGUGACGUUGGAGUCGACGGGAUGAUUAUAAACCUGGCUACGCUGCUAGCUAACACCGUCACGAAUCCGUUUAAGAACGGGUAUUACCAGGGCCCACCAACUGCUCCACUUGAAGCUGUCUCCGCUUGUACCGGCAUGUUCGGGUCUGGUUCUUACCCGGGUUACGCGGGUCUAGUGCUGGUUGACAAAACUACCGGGUCUAGCUACAACGCUCGUGGACUCGCCGGGAGGAAAUAUCUCUUGCCGGCGAUGUGGGAUCCACAGACCUCGACUUGCAAGACUCUGGUUUGAUCCAAGGGAUGUGAGUAUGACACGUGUCAUGUUCUGGAAGGAAUGAGGAGAUCUAGAUGACAUCUAUAGUCAAAACAAGUUGUAACUCGCGCUUGUAUAAUAUAUAUGCUUUCGGGUUUGGAC
rnacentral:lncRNA from 1 species